ensembl:lncRNA
UAAAAAAAAAAUUCACUUAGAAAUUGAUAGUGAAUUUCACAAAUAAUUUCAACAAUCAGCAAGAGUUCAGUCGGCUUCAGACCCAGAUGACUCCAUUAGCAGCGAGAUGCCCAUCGUGUCUCCAGCAGCUGCUAAAGGUUAUUCUUCUGUGCCUGUUUCACUCCUUCCAGACUCUGGAAACCGAAUCUCCGAUGGGACGUGCAGAGAGGAGAAGCGCUGAUGUGUGUUGGGCUGGAGACAAGGCCCGUCUUUGUGUUGGGAGAGUGAAUGAUGAAUAUGCUCUCUAGACUCGACUUCUCUCUUCCAGCGGCCGCUGAUGUUGGAAAGCUAAGCGGCUCGUUUAGUCACUGCAUGUGUGGUGAAGUAAUAAACACUGCUUUAAAUAUCCUGAACCUCACAAGACAUGCAAUCCAGACCACUCAAGCAUUAUUCAGAAUAAACAGCAGUGAUUGGUGCAUCAUCUUCAUUAUUUUUAUCAGUUUAUGCACACUACUGUAUAGCUCUAUUAAUAAUAUAUACAUUAAAAAG